rnacentral:rRNA from 1 species
UACGAAGGGUGCAAGCGUUAAUCGGAAUUACUGGGCGUAAAGCGCGCGUAGGUGGUUCAGCAAGUUGGAUGUGAAAUCCCCGGGCUCAACCUGGGAACUGCAUCCAAAACUACUGAGCUAGGGUACGGUAGAGGGUGGUGGAAUUUCCUGUGUAGCGGUGAAAUGCGUAGAUAUAGGAAGGAACACCAGUGGCGAAGGCGACCACCUGGACUGAUACUGACACUGAGGUGCGAAAGCGUGGGGAGCAAACAGG